rnacentral:rRNA from 1 species
GACGAACGCUGGCGGCGUGCUUAACACAUGCAAGUCGAACGGAAAGGCCCUGCUUUUGUGGGGUGCUCGAGUGGCGAACGGGUGAGUAACACGUGAGUAACCUGCCCUUGACUUUGGGAUAACUUCAGGAAACUGGGGCUACUACCGGAUAGUAGCGCCUGCUGCAUGGUGGGGGUUGGAAAGUUUCGGCGGUUGGGGAUGGACUCGCGGCUUAUCAGCUUGUUGGUGGGGUAGUGGCUUACCAAGGCUUUGACGGGUAGCCGGCCUGAGAGGGUGACCGGCCACAUUGGGACUGAGAUACGGCCCAGACUCCUACGGGAGGCAGCAGUGGGGAAUAUUGCACAAUGGGCGGAAGCCUGAUGCAGCAACGCCGCGUGCGGGAUGACGGCCUUGGGGUUGUAAACCGCUUUAGCCUGUGACGAAGUGUGAGUGACGGUAAUGGGUAAAGAAGCACCGGCUAACUACGUG